rnacentral:lncRNA from 1 species
UUUCCUUCACUUCCAAGAAUAUUCCGUUAAACAAAAGGGGUCGGUGUUUCCCAAAAUCUCUGUGCUCAUUAGCCCUAAUUUCCGAUCAACACCUCCCCCACCGUCGCACCACCCCUUCCACCGUCGCACGACCGUCGCACCGUCGAUUGUGGACUUCGGAAAUCAACUUGUUUCCGGUGGAACAAUGGCGCUAUGUUCCUCUAUUCAAUCAAAUCAAACGACUUUAUAUCACUUCCUUCACCUCUUCUCUCUCUCUGCUCCUAUUAUACCGUUUCCAUUUGAAACAAUGAAGAUCACAACUUUUGUUGGGUAACGUCAAACGCGACCGAAGGAGGUGUUACAACAAAAAGAAAAUUAGAAAUCCAUAAAAUGAGGGACCCCAAUUUGAUCACUAAGCUGAACAAGGGUAUUUGUUAUUACUGUAUUCUUACAAAAUAGGGUUUCCUUAUAGGAGUGGCAAAUUUGUAUAUUUUUCUGUUGUAUAGAAUAUAGAUAGUC